rnacentral:rRNA from 1 species
UACGUAGGUUGCGAGCGUUGUCCGGAUUUACUGGGUGUAAAGCGCGCGCAGGCGGUCUCGAAAGUCCACGGUGAAAGCUCCCGGCCCAACUGGGAGAGGCCCGUGGAAACUUCGAGACUUGAAGGCGGGAGAGGCAAAUGGAAUUUCCGGUGUAGCGGUAAAAUGCGUAGAUACCGGAAGGAACACCAGUGGCGAAGGCGAUUUGCUGGCCCGCACUUGACGCUCAGGCGCGAAAGCUAGGGUAGCGACCGGG